rfam:Schistosoma rodhaini strain Burundi genome assembly, scaffold: SROB_scaffold0000033
AUCCAGCUAACGAGUCCUAAAUAUGACGAAACGAACUUCCUGGAU